GAUGAACGCUGGCGGCGUGCCUAAUACAUGCAAGUCGAGCGAACAGACGAGGAGCUUGCUCCUCUGACGUUUGCGGCGGACGGGUGAGUAACACGUGGAUAACCUACCUAUAAGACUGGGAUAACUUCGGAAAACCGGAGCUAAUACCGGAUAAUAUAUUGAACCGCAUGGUUCAAUAGUGAAAGACGGUUUUGCUGUCACUUAUAGAUGGAUCCGCGCCGCAUUAGCUAGUUGGUAAGGUAACGGCUUACCAAGGCAACGAUGCGUAGCCGACCUGAGAGGGUGAUCGGCCACACUGGAACUGAGACACGGUCCAGACUCCUACGGGAGGCAGCAGUAGGGAAUCUUCGGCAAUGGGCGAAAGCCUGACGGAGCAACGCCGCGUGAGUGAUGAAGGUCUUCGGAUCGUAAAACUCUGUUAUUAGGGAAGAACAAAUGUGUAAGUAAAUAUGCACGUCUUGACGGUACCUAAUCAGAAAGCAACGGCUAACUACGUG
rnacentral:rRNA from 1 species